rnacentral:rRNA from 1 species
AGUGAACGCUGGCGGUAGGCCUAACACAUGCAAGUCGAACGGCAGCACAGUAAGAGCUUGCUCUUACGGGUGGCGAGUGGCGGACGGGUGAGGAAUACAUCGGAAUCUACUUUUUCGUGGGGGAUAACGUAGGGAAACUUACGCUAAUACCGCAUACGACCUACGGGUGAAAGCAGGGGAUCUUCGGACCUUGCGCGAUUGAAUGAGCCGAUGUCGGAUUAGCUAGUUGGCGGGGUAAAGGCCCACCAAGGCGACGAUCCGUAGCUGGUCUGAGAGGAUGAUCAGCCACACUGGAACUGAGACACGGUCCAGACUCCUACGGGAGGCAGCAGUGGGGAAUAUUGGACAAUGGGCGCAAGCCUGAUCCAGCCAUACCGCAUGGGUGAAGAAGGCCUUCGGUUUGUAAAGCCCUUUUGUUGGGAAAGAAAAGCAGCAGGUUAAUACCCCGCUGUUCUGACGGUACCCAAAGAAUAAGCACCGGCUAACUUCGUG